rnacentral:rRNA from 1 species
UACGUAGGGGGCAAGCGUUGUCCGGAGUUACUGGGCGUAAGGGGUGCGUAGGCGGCCGCGCGCGUGGGGGGUGAAAUCUCUCGGCUUACCCGGGAGGGGGCUUUCCAGACGGCGUGGCUUGAGGGACGGAGAGGGGCGUGGAAUUCCGGGUGGAGCGGCGAAAUGCGUAGAGAUCCGGAGGAACACCGACGGCGUAGGCAGCGCCCUGGCCGUUUCCUGACGCUGAAGCACGAAAGCUGGGGGAGCAAACAGG